GUCCCCAUGGUGUAAUGGUGAGCGCUCUGGUCUCUGAGUCCAGACAUCCCAGUUCGAAUCUUGGUGGGACU
rnacentral:tRNA from 1 species